rnacentral:lncRNA from 1 species
UCCAUUUAAUAACUUAAUUUACGUGGCCUAAUUACAAAUGUUACAAGCCCAAAUUGUAACCCAAUUACAUUAGCCUAAACCCAAAUCUAACCUAGCCCAAUAAACCCAUAACAGAAUCAAAGAACCCUAGCCCCUUCGCUUCAGUGCCGCAGCAGCAAACAGCCUCCGCAGCACCACAGAUGUCACAGCACCUUGCACGUUCUCCUUCCACGCCGCGCACAAUGCCCGUACCUGCAACAAAAAGAACCACGAGCAGCAAGCAAGAGAAAAAACCGAAAAUAUAGCAAAUUGUAAAAAGAUUUGGCUAUAAAAAGCCAAUUGAUUUAUGUAAUGGGGGUUAGACAAAUGUUGUAAAAA